rnacentral:hammerhead_ribozyme from 1 species
AUCCAGCUGACGAGUCCCAAAUAGAACAAAAUUAGCGUCCUGGAU